rnacentral:lncRNA from 1 species
UUUAAUAUGUAUUGUAAAUUUGAGCUCGAUCUAACGGUUGAAUUGAAGAAUAUUGAGGUUUAAGUGGGUCAAGGUCUCAGAAAGUAGAAUUUUAGGUCUAGUGGGGGUUUUUAAGAUUUCUUGCAAUCUACUAAAUGGAUUGGAGUGAAACUUAUGUGAGAGGAUAUGAGACUUGUUUUUCUAUGUGUAUGAGAAUUUUGAGAUCAAUCGAAUGGUGCAAAAGAGAGAUAUUGGCUUUAGAAGAUUGGCAUCAAGAUUGAAGGAGGCCGACCAAUACCCGAGCACACUUUUGAGGUUAUCAUCAAUUUAUUAACUCCGAUCUUUUUUAUUUUUUUUUUGUACUUAUUUUUCACUUAUUUUUUAAGAAGUGUAUAAAAUUUGAGUUAAGAUCAAUGGUUUAUUCAUUAGUUAUGGAGGUUUAAAUUUGUUGUAGAAAUUACUAGGAUUUGAUUUAAGGUUUAGGAUUUUGAUUAGGAUUUGAUUUAGAGUUUAAGAUUUGAUUAGGAAUUGAUUUAGGAUUUAGGAUUUGGAUUAGGAUUUGAUUUAGGAUUUAGGAUUUGAUUAGGAUUUGGUUUAGAAUUUAGGAUUUGAUUAGGGAUUGAUUUAGGAUUUAGGAUUUGAAUUAGGAUUUGAUUAAGGUUUGGUUUAGGAUUUGGUAUAGGAUUUGGUUAGGAUUUUAUUUAGGAUUUAGGAUUUGGUUAGGAUUUGAUUAGAGUUUGAUUUAGUAUUUAGGAUUUGGUUUAGGAUUUGGUUAGGAUUUAAUUUAGGAUUUGGUUGGGAUUUGGUUUAAGGUUUGUUUAGGAUUUCAUUUAGGAUUUAGAAUUUUAUUAGGAUUUAAGAUUCAAUUAGUUUUGGCCUAAAUUUUGAAUGAAGUUCAAUAGGAUUUUAACUAGAAUUAAAUUAAGAUUGAAUUGAGAUGUAUUUGAGUGAUAUUUGUGAUCCAUUUGAUAUUUCUUUAAGAAUUUUUAUUCUUUAUUUGAAAUUUCUUUGAGAUUUUUUUGAAAUUGAUUAAGCUU